rnacentral:sRNA from 1 species
GCCAGGCACGGUGGUGCAUGCCUGUAAUCCUAGUGGCUUGGGAGGCUGAGGCAGGAGGAUCACAAGUUCAAAGCCAGCCUCAG